rnacentral:lncRNA from 1 species
AAUCAUCCAAAUACCAAACAAAAAUAUAUUUAAACAAAAAAUUAAAUAUUCCUAUGUAUAAAAAAAAACUAAAUAUUACAUUACAUCAAAUAAAUUUAAAAAGAUAAUCAACACACAAAGAUAUCAACAUAAAAUUAAAAUAUUGCAUUACAUAAAAUAUUACAAAUUGAUCAUGAUCAACAUAAUUUAUGAAGGUCUAUUUUUUUAAUCCUCUGACCAUGAAGUUUCUUGUCCUGCAUUCAAUAAACGUCAAUAUUUUAUGAAGUUAAAAAGAAAACAAAGUAAAACAGAAAACAAAAUCAACACUAAACAACAUUAAAGGGCUUACCUACCUUCAAGUAUGACCAUAGAUCUGGAAAAUGCAAAAA